UACGUAGGGGGCAAGCGUUGUCCGGAUUUAUUGGGCGUAAAGAGCGUGUAGGCGGUCAGGCAGGUCCGUUGUGAAAACUCGAGGCUCAACUUCGAGACGCCGGUGGAAACCAUCAGACUAGAGUCCGGAAGAGGAGAGUGGAAUUCCUGGUGUAGCGGUGAAAUGCGCAGAUAUCAGGAAGAACACCCGUGGCUAAGGCGGCUCACUGGACCAUUACUGACGCUGAUGCACGAAAGCUAGGGGAGCAAACAGG
rnacentral:rRNA from 1 species